UACGUAGGGGGCAAGCGUUGUCCGGAUUUAUUGGGCGUAAAGCGCGUGUAGGCGGCCAGGUAGGUCGGUUGUGAAAACUCGAGGCUCAACCUCGAGACGUCUACCGAAACCAUCUGGCUAGAGUCCGGAAGAGGAGAGUGGAAUUCCUGGUGUAGCGGUGAAAUGCGCAGAUAUCAGGAAGAACACCCGUGGCGAAGGCGGCUCUCUGGGACGGUACUGACGCUGAGACGCGAAAGCGUGGGGAGCGAACAGG
rnacentral:rRNA from 1 species